UACGGAGGUGGCAAGCGUUACUCGGUUUGACUGGGUGUAAAGGGUCCGCAGGCGGUCAGGUAAGUGAAAGGUGAAAUCCCUCAGCUCAACUGAGGAACUGCCUUUCAAACUGUUUGACUUGAGGCUGGAAGAGGAGAGCGGAACUGCCGGUGUAAGGGUGAAAUCUGUGGAUAUCGGCAGGAACGCCCGUGGGGAAGCCGGCUCUCUGGUCCAGACCUGACGCUCAGGGACGAAAGCCAGGGGAGCAAACAGGAUUAGAUACCCUGGUAGUCCUGGCCGUAAACAAUGGGCACUGGGUGUUUCCGCCUUAGGCGGAGGUGCCGUAGCUAACGCGUUAAGUGCCCCACCUGGGGACUACGGCCGCAAGGCUAAAACUCAAAGGAAUUGACGGGGGCCCGCACAAGCGGUGGAACACGUGGUUCAAUUCGAUGCUACGCGAGGAACCUUACCAGGGCUUGACAUGCUGGAAGUAGCUACCCGAAAGGGUGGGCGACCUGUAACCAGUCAGGAACCAGCACAGGUGCUGCAUGGCUGUCGUCAGCUCGUGCCGUGAGGUGUUCCCUUAAGUGGGAAAACGAGCGCAACCCUCACCCUUAGUUGCCACCUCCGACUUUUCGUCGGAGAGCACUCUAAGGGGACUGCCCGCGUUAAGUGGGAGGAAGGUGGGGACGACGUCAAGUCCGCAUGGCCCUUAUGCCCUGGGCUACACACGUGUUACAAUGCCGGCUACAACGGGAGGCGAAGUCGUAAGGCGGAGCAAAUCUCUAAAAAGCCGGCUCAGUUCGGAUCGAGGGCUGCAACCUGCCCUUGUGAAGUCGGAAUCGCUAGUAAUGGCGCAUCAGCCAUGGCGCCGUGAAUACGUUCCCGGGCC
rnacentral:rRNA from 1 species